CUCCAGCUACCUACCGAACGUCCGUUCGUGUAAAACUAAUGAAUAAUGUGAAAGUUAUGUAUUUUAAUGUAAAAAGUGAGUUCUGCUGCACGGAGGGAUAAUCCCAUUAACGGUAUAUCCCAGUGGGAGUAUCCCUCUCGUCCAGCAGUGUAUGAUGGGAAAAUUGUGUGGGUUGGGCAGUUCCCCAUGUAGUCCCCUACUGUACAACCCCUGAAAUGUCCCCUUGUAUGAGGAGACCUGCC